AUGAGUGUAUGUGCAUGUAUGUGGACAUCUAUGGUUGUACAGCCAAAUGGGAACUUUUCAGCACGAUCGGCAUAUGCGGCCGGAUUUAUGGGCCUCGAAGCGUCACCAACAGCUCCGUUUACUUGGAAGUCAAGGGCGCCGCUCCACUGCCGUUUUUUCCUUUGGCUCGCGAUCCAAAACAGAUGUUGGACGUCGGAUCGUUUGGCCAGACGAGGGCUACCUCAUCAGGAUGCGUGCCCCCUUUGUGAUCAACAGGAAGAAACAUUGCAGCACCUACUGCUUGGCUGUGUGUUUGCACGGCAGGUCUGGCAUGAGUUGGGGCAAAAGACAGGGCUUCGGGAGCUGGAGCCACUCCAGAAUGAAUCUUUGAGUGUGUGGUGCCUGAGGCAGGAUCGAGAUCCGACAGGCAGGAAAUCGACUAGGGCGAAAUGCAUUCUCGCCUUGUGGACAAUUUGGAAGCAUCGAAACGACGUCGUGUUUAAUGGGGCACCGGUUUCUCUGCCACGAGUCAAAGAGCGGCUACUUGAGGAAGGGAGGCUUUGGGCAAAAGCUGGCUUGUUUAAAGACGACGUUAGAGGGUUUGAAGAGUUGGGUAGUGAGCGGACGGCAAGCGAGUAG
rnacentral:rRNA from 1 species